rnacentral:tRNA from 1 species
GGUCUGUUGGCCCAAUGGCAAGGCGUCUGACUACGACUUGUGAAUUUGCACAAGAAAUUCGCGAUCAGGAGAUUGCAGGUUCGACCCCUGCACAGAUCA